rnacentral:tRNA from 1 species
GGCGCCUUGGCUUAGUUGGUUAAAGCGCCUGUCUACUACACAGGAGAUCCUGGGUUUGAAUUCCAAGGGUGCCU